GGGGGCGAUCGGUUUUGACGGGCCGAACGAAAUGAAAGAGGGCAUACCGAGGGUUCUGGCCACCUCGUUAAUCCGACCCGAGAAAAAAACAUCCUGAAAUGGGAUAUGCUCUAGCUGCAUAAUUAAUGCGGCUACGUUUGCCUGAGUGGCCAGCCCAGCUCGGGGCCAGGCGUCAUAUAGGGCUGAAACCCGUUGAUCCCCGCCUUUGGAAUUAACGGGUUAAUCUGAAGAGGCUUUCUCGCGUAGACCUGUCUCUUGGUGACACGUGAGGAGACUCAUAAAGAGACUAAGUAUGUAGUCCUCUUCAUUGAAGCGGUUCGGACGCGGGUUCGAUUCCCGCCGCCUCCACCA
rnacentral:tmRNA from 1 species